UACGAAGGGGGGCUAGCGUUGUUCGGAAUUACUGGGCGUAAAGCGCACGUAGGCGGGUUGUUAAGUCAGGGGUGAAAUCCUGGAGCUCAACUCCAGAACUGCCUUUGAUACUGGCAACCUAGAGACUGGAAGAGGUUAGUGGAAUUCCCAGUGUAGAGGUGAAAUUCGUAGAUAUUGGGAAGAACACCAGUGGCGAAGGCGGCUAACUGGUCCAGCACUGACGCUGAGGUGCGAAAGCGUGGGGAGCAAACAGGAUUGAGAAACCCG
rnacentral:rRNA from 1 species